rnacentral:lncRNA from 1 species
UCGGUCGGUGCACUUGGUAAGAGAUUAUUUCUCGAUGGCAAAUGUUGAGCAAGAUCGAAAGUCCUACUGUCGCUGACCUUACUAACCAGUAUCUCGAGUAAUCUGGUUUGUGCCUCACUGGUAUUGCGUAUCACGUCAUGAAGUUUAUCGAUUUCUCGACUAAACGUCUGCUCGACCGUCCGAGAUUGCUCGUCGAGCCAUUUUCGAAGAAACGACCUUGUUGGUGGAUCAAAGCCUUCGCCACCAUCUUUGUCACAAUCCUCUAGUAUCCUUUCAUUGAGGACGCAGGUGUUCCUGUCGGGGAUUUCGAGACUGCGAAA